rnacentral:pre_miRNA from 1 species
UGUUAAAUAUUUAAUUUAUUUGUACUAUUAAAAACUAGCGUGAUUAACAAAAUAAUUUGACAGUAACACAUGACAUUCUAUGUAUACCUCAUACUGGCGUACAAAAAAUUAAAUUUUAAGAGUAAAAAUGGAUUAAAUUUUUAACA